GCGCACAUGAUGAACUAGAUGUUUUUACUUGUGCGCCACCAACGAGAGGCAGUACAUCGCACACAUCACAUUUCUGGUGUCUUCUUCUUCUUCGUCGGCCAGCGGCUGCCAACUCGUCGCUCGCAAAGGGAGCUUUUUGUGUGUUCCUGCCAGCGGGUAUUCGCACAUACCUUUGUUGGAUAAAUCUGGACUUAUUUAUAUAAUGUACGUGGAGAUCUACAGUUACACAAGCUCACAUAUAAAAAUCUGCUGACAGCUUUGGACUUCUGGUAAGCCAAAAGACUUGACAACACCUCAUACGGAGAUAAAAGAUAGGAUCGUAUGGAUCUAGACUGUAGAAUACUGGUACUUUCCGACUUAUGCGAAUAAGAUGCCAAGGCUCGACUCCCGACCGAGUCCAGACCUAGAUCCCGAGUCCACAUCCGUGUCCUCGAGCAGGACCCUAAACUCCUUGAUGAGGACACUCCGUAACUGAUUUGAUUUGAAGGAACGGAACCAGCGGCUGAAACAAUAACUGCAAUAUCAGCGGACAACAAAACCAAUUUGCAGCGGA